ACGAAGGGUGCAAGCGUUGUUCGGAAUUACUGGGUGUAAAGGGCAUGUAGGCGGAAGCAAAAGUUAGUGGUGAAAUCCCUGGGCUCAACCUGGGAACUGCCAUUAAAACUGGGUUUCUGGAGUAUUGGAGAGGAUGAUGGAAUAUCCAGUGUAGAGGUGAAAUUCGUAGAUAUUGGAUAGAACACCGGUGGCGAAGGCGAUCAUCUGGCCAUUUACUGACGCUGAGAUGCGAAAGCGUGGGGAGCAAACAG
rnacentral:rRNA from 1 species